UUGCAGCCAUAUCACAUUGAAACACUGGUUCUCAUGUGAUCACCGAAGUUAAGCAACAUAGAGCCUGGUCAGUACCUAGUACUGUUAUUUCUUGGAAUCACCAGGUUCUGUAA